AGUGAACGCUGGCGGUAGGCCUAACACAUGCAAGUCGAACGGCAGCACAGUAAGAGCUUGCUCUUACGGGUGGCGAGUGGCGGACGGGUGAGGAAUACAUCGGAAUCUACUUUUUCGUGGGGGAUAACGUAGGGAAACUUACGCUAAUACCGCAUACGACCUACGGGUGAAAGCAGGGGAUCUUCGGACCUUGCGCGAUUGAAUGAGCCGAUGUCGGAUUAGCUAGUUGGCGGGGUAAAGGCCCACCAAGGCGACGAUCCAUAGCUGGUCUGAGAGGAUGAUCAGCCACACCGGAACUGAGACACGGUCCAGACUCCUACGGGAGGCAGCAGUGGGGAAUAUUGGACAAUGGGCGCAAGCCUGAUCCAGCCAUACCGCGUGGGUGAAGAAGGCCUUCGGGUUGUAAAGCCCUUUUGUUGGGAAAGAAAAGCAGCAGGUUAAUACCCCGCUGUUCUGACGGUACCCAAAGAAUAAGCACCGGCUAACUUCGUG
rnacentral:rRNA from 1 species